rnacentral:rRNA from 1 species
CCUACGGGAGGCAGCAGUGAGGAAUAUUGGUCAAUGGGCGCGAGCCUGAACCAGCCAUGCCGCGUGCAGGAAGACGGCCCUACGGGUUGUAAACUGCUUUUGUUUGGGAAUAAAAGGCGCUACGAGUAGUGCACUGAAGGUACCAGAUGAAUAAGCAUCGGCUAACUCCGUGCCAGCAGCCGCGGUAAUACGGAGGAUGCGAGCGUUAUCCGGAUUUAUUAGGUUUAAAGGGUGUGUAGGCGGAAGAUUAAGUCAGUGGUGAAAUCCCCCGGCUCAACCGGGGAACUGCCAUAGAUACUGGUUUUCUUGAGUACAGUUGAAGUAGGCGGAAUGUGUAAUGUAGCGGUGAAAUGCUUAGAUAUUACACAGAACACCGAUUGCGAAGGCAGCUUGCUAAGCUGUUACUGACGCUGAUGCACGAAAGCGUGGGGAGCGAACAGGAUUAGAUACCCUGGUAGUCCACGCCGUAAACGAUGAUUACUCGUUGUUGGCGAUAUAAAGCCAGCGACUGAGCGAAAGC